AGGGAGAUAAGAAAGCAAAUCAGUGCUUGCAAAAUUUCAAUCAAACAUCCCUUACCUUAAGCCUGAUUUCCGUAAAAGAUUUUGAUGAAUUUUUUGGGCUUAAUGAAACAGGACUGAACUUGCGGACCAUGACCUUGAAAAAUGGAAAGAAUAUUAUGUAGAGCGCAGCCAAAAUAAAGGGUGCUGCAACAAGCCAUCCCAAUAACGCAUGGGCAAUGCUUAAUAAGACCUCAUGUGAAGCUUGUCCGGUCAACACCUUCUUCAAAGCAUCAGAUGUCAAUGGAAAAUGAGGUCCACCAUAGAUUACUCAACUCUAUAGGCGUUGCAACAAAAUUAGCUAACAGUACAGUUGGAGCAUGGCACAGAGACCCAA
rnacentral:misc_RNA from 1 species